rnacentral:lncRNA from 1 species
CCCCUGCUUCCGCCCCGCCAAGACCAGCAGUCUAAGCCGCUGUCCCUGGUGCCUGUGCCUCGGGCCUUUUGGCCGCGUUUGUCCUCCUGACUGGGCGACUAGCUCAGGCGGAGUGGGCAUUGGGGGCGACUGUUCAUGGGGAAGAUAUAAAUAAUUAAUCGGUGUAAGAGUAUUCUCUGACGAGACACACGAAACCUGCAGUGCCUUAGUGCUCUCCAGCUGGCAUUUUGCAUCACAGCUUCCUAAAAAAGAAGACCCAGCAGACAUGAGUGAAAACAGCUGCCUGCACAAGUUGUCCCCUAACAGGUACAGCCAAGAGUCAGAAGCACAGAGGGAGCUGGGGAAGCGACAUUUCUUACAGAGCCCACUGCUGUCCCUGUGUGAAGUGGCUCAUAUCAGCUCUCGAUUCUAUGCCGGUGUUCUGGAUUUCCUCUUGAGAUGUGCAUUUGUAUCAGCCAUCCUGUCCCCUGUGCCUCUGACGAGCUCCCUUCUGGAUGGCCUGCUGUCAUGCUGAGAUGACCCUUCACUAACAUCUGAGAAGUCCCUUUGCUGUUCUACGGUGUGGAAAACUUGUUUCCUCCAUCUCAUGUCUUCUUCCUUGCUUAAUUCCUUUGUUUAAUGAAACAAAUUAAUUCCUUUGUUAAUGAAACUUCCCAAUAGUUUCCUAAGAAAAGUGUGUAAGUGGUCAACUAUUUGCAACCUAAUAUGUCUGAAAAUUCUACAUAUACUUUUAACAUGUAGUUUGAUUGGGUAGAUGAGUCCAGUGUGGAAAUAUUUUUUCAAAAAUUAGAAGCUAUUGCACUAUUGUCUUGUAGUAUGGUGUGUUGCUUUUGAGAAGUUGUAAGCCAUUUUUUUUUAAUCCUUUGUGUGUUUAUAUCUUUUCUUCUGUUUUUGCACCUCACAACCUUUUAUUUAUUUUUUCUCAUCAAUGCAAUAAACUUUCAUGAUGACAGGGCUUGUGUGGGUCAUGCUGUUCAAUUCUGGGAAAUUUCCUUGACUGA